GAACCCUUGGCACAGUGGUAGCGCGUGAGAUUCCAGACGGUGGAGUAGCUGCCCACCUCAGGGAAAUCCUCAAGGUCGUCCGUUCGAUCCGGGCAGGGUUCA